CACGCCGUAAACGAUGUCUACUAGUCGUUGGGGAACUUGAUUCCUUAGUGACGCAGCUAACGCAAUAAGUAGACCGCCUGGGGAGUACGGCCGCAAGGUUAAAACUCAAAUGAAUUGACGGGGGCCCGCACAAGCGGUGGAGCAUGUGGUUUAAUUCGAUGCAACGCGAAGAACCUUACCUGGUCUUGACAUAUCUAGAAUCCUGCAGAGAUGCGGGAGUGCCUUCGGGAAUUAGAAUACAGGUGC
rnacentral:rRNA from 1 species